GUUUGAUCCUGGCUCAGGAUGAACGCUAGCGGCAGGCCUAACACAUGCAAGCCGAGGGGCAGCGGGGUAGCAAUACUGCCGGCGACCGGCGCACGGGUGAGUAACGCGUAUGCAACCUACCCAUAUCAGGGGGAUAGCUUCCGGAAACGGGAAUUAAUACCCCAUAAUAUUUAGUUCUGGCAUCGGGAUUAAAUUAAAGUUUAGGCGGAUAUGGAUGGGCAUGCGUGCCAUUAGCUAGUUGUGGGGUAAAGGCCCACCAAGGCUACGAUGGCUACGGGGUCUAAAAGGAUGGUCCCGCACACUGGUACUGAGACACGGACCAGACUCCUACGGGAGGCAGCAGUGAGGAAUAUUGGUCAAUGGGUGCAAGCCUGAACCAGCCAUGCCGCGUGCAGGAAGACGGCCCUAGUGGUUGUAAACUGCUUUUAUACGGGAAGAAUGGAUUUCAUGUAUGAGAUAUUGACGGUACCGUAUGAAUAAGCAUCGGCUAACUCCGUGCCAGCAGCCGCGGUAAUACGGAGGAUGAAGCGUUAUCCGGAUUUAUUAGGUUUAAAGGGUGCGUAGGCGGAAUAUUAAGUCAGGGGUGAAAUCUUGCCGCUCAACGGCAAAACUGCCUUUGAUACUGAUAUUCUUGAGUUUAGACGAGGUAGGCGGAAUGUGUAAUGUAGCGGUGAAAUGCUUAGAUAUUACACAGAACACCGAUUGCGAAGGCAGCUUACUAGUCUUGAACUGACGCUGAUGCACGAAAGCGUGGGUAGCGAACAGGAUUAGAUACCCUGGUAGUCCACGCUGUAAACGAUGAUCACUAGCUGUUUGCGAUAUAUUGUGAGUGGCUGAGCGAAAGCAUUAAGUGAUCCACCUGGGGAGUACGUCGGCAACGAUGAAACUCAAAGGAAUUGACGGGGGCCCGCACAAGCGGUGGAACAUGUGGUUUAAUUCGAUGAUACGCGAGGAACCUUACCUGGGCUUAAAUGGGAGACGAACGGAGCCGAAAGGUUUUUUCCCUUCGGGGCGUCUUUCAAGGUGCUGCAUGGCUGUCGUCAGCUCGUGCCGUGAGGUGUCGGGUUAAGUCCCAUAACGAGCGCAACCCUUAUCGUUAGUUGCCAGCGGGUAGAGCCGGGGACUCUAACGAGACUGCCACCGUGAGGUGAGAGGAAGGUGGGGAUGACGUCAAGUCAGCACGGCCCUUACGUCCAGGGCUACACACGUGUUACAAUGGCCGGUACAGAGGGCAGCUACCUGGUAACAGGAUGCGAAUCUCGAAACCCGGUCCAAGUUCGGAUUGGAGUCUGCAACUCGACUCCAUGAAGCUGGAAUCGCUAGUAAUCGCGUAUCAGCAACGACGCGGUGAAUACGUUCCCGGGCCUUGUACACACCGCCCGUCAAGCCAUGGAAGCCGGGGGUACCUGAAGUCCGUAACCGCAAGGAUCGGCCUAGGGUAAAACUGGUGACUGGGGCUAAGUC
rnacentral:rRNA from 1 species